rnacentral:misc_RNA from 1 species
AGUCGUAACAAGGUUUCCGUAGGUGAACCUGCGGAAGGAUCAUUAAUGAAAUUUAUGACUGGAGUUGUAGCUGGCCUUUAAAAACGGCAUGUGCACGCUCCUUUCACUAAUCCACACACACCUGUGCACCUUCGCGGGGGUCUUCUUUGUUAAUUCGGAGAAGGCUCGCGUCCCUUUACACACCCUUUUGUAUGUCUUAAGAAUGUCUACUCGAUGUAAUAAAACGCAUCUAAUACAACUUUCAACAACGGAUCUCUUGGCUCUCGCAUCGAUGAAGAACGCAGCGAAAUGCGAUAAGUAAUGUGAAUUGCAGAAUUCAGUGAAUCAUCGAAUCUUUGAACGCACCUUGCGCCCUUUGGUAUUCCGAAGGGCACACCUGUUUGAGUGUCGUGAAAUUCUCAACCCUCUUCACUUUUGUGAACGUAGUGGAUUGGACUUGGAGGCUUUGCCGGGCUUCACCGCUCGGCUCCUCUCAAAUGCAUUAGUGCGUCUUGUUGCGACGUGCGCCUCGGUGUGAUAAUUAUCUACGCUGUGGUGUGCUUGCUUCUGUGGAGACGCGCUUUCUAACCGUCCGAAAGGACAGCUUUCAUCGAACUUUGACCUCAAAUCAGGUGGGACUACCCGCUGAACUUAAGCAUAUCAAUAA